UAGUGAGCUGUUUGUGAUAUACUGGGGAGGAUUUUUUUUAGUUCCCUGUACUCUUCAUUUAGUUACCCCUCCUCUUUCAAAUAAGCUUAUAAAAAACCCCCAAAAUAUAAGGGAUAAUGCUUGAAGGAAAUGUUGAAAUUAGCCUCAAGCACAAAGAAAUGAAUACAGAAUGUAAAAGAGGGGUAUCAAGAACACUAGGAAAAAUGAAAUACCAUUAAUCUUUCUCUCUUCAGUCUAAAGUUCAACAUUGCUGCCCCUUCAAAUAUCACAAGAGUAUCACAAAUUAGAAGUUGAAUCCCAGUAGCUGCUGAUUGGUGGGAAGACUGCUGGCAAAUCAUUCUCAACCACUUGGGGCUUUUUUUUCUCCCAGAACGCCCAGAACGGAG